rnacentral:rRNA from 1 species
CCUACGGGUGGCAGCAGUGAGGAAUAUUGGUCAAUGGACGAGAGUCUGAACCAGCCAAGUAGCGUGAAGGAUGACUGCACUAUGGGUUGUAAACUUCUUUUAUAAAGGAAUAAAACGAGGCACGUGUGCCUUUUUGCAUGUACUUUAUGAAUAAGGAUCGGCUAACUCCGUGCCAGCAGCCGCGGUAAUACGGAGGAUCCGAGCGUUAUCCGGAUUUAUUGGGUUUAAAGGGAGCGUAGAUGGGUUGUUAAGUCAGUUGUGAAAGUUUGCGGCUCAACCGUAAAAUUGCAAUUGAUACUGGCAGUCGUGAGUACAGUUGAGGUAGGCGGAAUUCGUGGUGUAGCGGUGAAAUGCUUAGAUAUCACGAAGAACCCCGAUUGCGAAGGCAGCUUACUAAACUGUGACUGACAUUGAUGCUCGAAAGUGUGGGUAUCAAACAGGAUUAGAUACCCCAGUAGUC